rnacentral:rRNA from 1 species
AUGGGCGCAAGCCUGAUGCAGCAACGCCGCGUGAGGGACGACGGCCUUCGGGUUGUAAACCUCUUUUAGCAGGGAAGAAGCGAAAGUGACGGUACCUGCAGAAAAAGCGCCGGCUAACUACGUGCCAGCAGCCGCGGUAAUACGUAGGGCGCAAGCGUUAUCCGGAAUUAUUGGGCGUAAAGAGCUCGUAGGCGGUUUGUCGCGUCUGCUGUGAAAUCCGGAGGCUCAACCUCCGGCCUGCAGUGGGUACGGGCAGACUAGAGUGCGGUAGGGGAGAUUGGAAUUCCUGGUGUAGCGGUGGAAUGCGCAGAUAUCAGGAGGAACACCGAUGGCGAAGGCAGAUCUCUGGGCCGUAACUGACGCUGAGGAGCGAAAGGGUGGGGAGCAAACAGGCUUAGAUACCCUGGUAGUCCACCCCGUAAACGUUGGGAACUAGUUGUGGGGUCCAUUCCACGGAUUCCGUGACGCAGCUAACGCAUUAAGUUCCCCGCCUGGG